CUGUUUGCGUGUACAUCCUGAAAUUCCAACGAUAUUGAUACCUACAGUGAUAUCCCAAAUCUAACUGUGUAUCCCAUAACCCCUCCAAUUCCACCUCCUAAAGAUCUUCCUAAACCGUGUUUUUUAUUUCCCUCCACUCCACAUUAGCCAGACAAUAGCUAUCACACAAGAAGUCCACAUUAUUUGGACCUUUUUCUUCUCCACAAACAAAUUUAUUUAAAUUACUGAAGCUUUGUUAGGAAAAUGGUUGUUGAGAUUAACCUCGGAGCACAAUUCUUUCCAGUUUGAGAGUAAGUUUUGAGUGAAAUAUAAUCAGUAGAACUCCCAGAUUUCGUAGAAGGGUUUUCAUUUUAGGAUAUGGGAACAUUGGAAUUGAAUUGGCAAAGCGCUUGAGACCGUUUGGUGUGAAAAUUAUUGCCUCCAAACGGAGGUGGGCCACAGAGUCACAGUAUUCUUGCCUUCUGAAUUUUCAGUUCAAAAUUGUUCCGCCGAGAAUUUGGUCGAUGAGAAGUGUGUCCAUGAAGAUAUCCACAAGUUUGCAAGUAAAGCAGACAUCGUUGUUUGAUGCGUGCGUUUAAACAGUGAAACAGUUGGCAUUGUAAACAAGUCGUUCAUAUCUUCGAUGAGAAAGGGAGAGACGAAAGAAGAACCCUACAUUUGUAAGAUUGUGGAAAUGUUUGAAGCAAUUGGUGGGCUAUUAUAUUUUACUGCACAACGGUACUAUAGGUCACGAGACACUGUAAGAUAUUUUGAAAGAAACCUUUUCAUGAUUCUCCUUCCAAAUACUUUGUUUCAUGGUUUUGUUACGUUAAAAAGUAAGAAUCCUGCUAUUGGGCGCUGAAUUAUUAGUUUUUUGCUUUCUUGUAUGUCAUAAAGCACUGUGCUAGUGUUGCUUGUGGGCGUGUAUUUAUUUCAGAUGUCCGAGACGACAACCCUCUGGAUUAUCUUGUUGAAAAACUUCAUAUUGUUAGGCUGACACUAAAUGUAUGCUUGAAGUUUCCAUAUUCAUGCUUUUUUAGUUGUUCAUGAAGUCCAACAUGAAUGAGUUAUCCUUUUUCUCUCAGGUUGAUCAAGAUGCGAAGAGUAAAUCAAUUCCAGUGUGCAAUUACAAUUGCGACACCAAAAAAUAUAUAGUCUGGAAGCGAUGACUCAACUAUCGCUGUUGAGGAUGCUGUUUUGUUUGGAUAGUGAGGUUGAUUCAAAGCUGCCAAAUGGAGUGUGUACGAAAUCAGAAGGAAGGCUCCUGGACCUAUAUUUGGGGGUUGUGGAGCGAUGUCUACUGGCCUGUGGCUUGGUGCGCAUUUGGCCAAUAUCAAUCUUGUUACAAUAUGGGCUGUUGACUACAAUGGAUACGCUUGUAAGAGUCUAGAACAGAAGUACAGAACCAUCCAGAGACAGAGGUCCGAAAUGAAGCUGCUGAAGAUUUCCUCAAAAUGCUCAAGGAAUGGAGAAAGUUGUGCAUCUGUUUAAAGUUGGUUGAGACUGGCAAUUUAGAGGCGGAUGUCGAGAAGAGUAUGCUUGAAUUCUUUCGGAAGGAAGAUGAGGAAGAGGAAGAAGAGGAAGAAAAGGAAGAAAAUGUUGGAGGAAUGUUAAGGAUGAUUCUGAAAUUUUUGAAGUUGAUUGCGUAGGACGAGUAUGUUUUGGUGACCCCGAAAAAAAAUGAGAAAGGAAUAAACUUAAAGAUUUAUUGGAAGGGCUACAGGCCUGACGAAGACACCUGGGAGCCAAUGAAUGAAUUGGAGUCUGCAACUAUUCUUAUUUACGCUUGCAGUAUUAUCCGUUGCAUGUUUUGUAUCAUUUAUGUACUGUGAUGUUGUAAACUAAAGCUCAUGUUUUUCUGUCAAACAGGCAUUGUAAGCAGGUUAUCGAAGACUUUAUUACUGAAGGUUACAUAUGAUAUACACAUGUUUAUCAUGCA